GAAAAAGCGGUGGACAAGUGAACAAGGGCUUAGUUCUAAAAGAAGAAAGAUGGGAAGAAGCAGAGGCUCAGAUUCACUUUUGGCCUGUCAGAUAUUGCAGUCACAUCACUUUUCUCAAUGCAUGGCUUGCCACUGGUUGCCUGCAAAGCAGCAGACCAUCCAAGCUGCCUGCCAGCAUUGCAAACAAGCAUUGCUGCAUGGGAAAAACAAUGGCCAAUAUGGUGAAGAUCCACUCAAGUGGAGCCAAGUCAAGCUCUCUCUCUUUCUCUAAAUAUAUACACAUACACACACACACACACAUGCAUGCAUACAUAGAUACAUACAUGUAUGCUCUACCAUCACAUUGCUGGUAGGUUCAUCAUCACCGCCUCUGGAUUCUCCCUGGCAUCUUCGUUAGACCAUGUGACUUUUAACCAUUCCGGUUGAUCUUUCAAGUCCCCUGAUAUUUAUCAAGGGAAAAUGCUUUGUCUAUCCUAUUAGAGCAGAAUGGAGGAAAUGAAUUCAUGUUGUCGACCCCAACCAGUGCAGGCUUAAGCAGGGAUGACCAUGUGGGCAUGCCUAUGGAAAUAAUUAGGCCACAACUAUAACUUUUGGCUGAGGGUAUUUCUGUUCAUAAAAAGAAAACAAGGCUGACAAAUAAUUAUACCAAAAAUAGCUUAUGACAGCUUUCCUUAAAUAGUCGCCUAGCAUAAGCAAGUUCAUUACAUAUCCUGGCUCAUGCCCUUUUCUUUUUCUUUUUCCUUUUUUUCUGUUUUUGGAAAAAAAGAUCUGCUAGCCGACGCAAGGCUUGUUCCCAGCCUCCUGCCUGAUUUAUUCCUGAGCCCAACGCUGCCCAAAAGAAUAAUAAGAAAGAUGUCAUUCCACAAAAGUCCCAAAAUCUAUCAGUUUCAUAAAUGCAACAAAGAAAGCAAAAAUCUUAUCCUAGUUCCACUAAAACUUGUUGGGGAAUUCAUAAUAAUAAUAAUAAAAUGGCAUGAAGCAUGGUAUGAACCAUGAAGCACCAGUCUCUUAACCAUUUGACAUGGCUCUACCGUGUGAAUGCAACCUAAAGCCUCAUUAUAGUAGAUGCUUCAAACACCUUGGGCUCACAAAGAUAAGUAGAUGCUGAGGCUUGACCUGGCAAAAAGUUCAUUCAGGUUUGUAACAAGGAAAAAACACAAGCGUGAACACUUGCAGAGCUUGCACAGCCCUUUCAUGUAACAAACCAAGUCCAAACAGCCUAAAGCUCUAUGCAUUUAGUUUGCAGCACACACAAGAAUUUUUAAGAUGAGAUGAUACCUCAUUGGUCAAUAUCUUCUAUAUACCACACCAAUUUCUAUUAACUAAGAUAAUAAGGACAAAAAUUUCAUGCAUAUUAUAUUAGCAUGUGCUGAUACAGGUACAACCCAACAUUUCCACCGAGAUAUACACCUUGGGCCCUAGGAAGGAGCAGAAAGGGGCUUUGAACAACAGAUGUUCAGCAAAACAAAUAUCCAUAAGGGCCAUCAAAAUGAUCACCUUAGUUGCCAUCAAAUUUACUAAAAUAGAUAUCAAUAAAACAUGAUUUUCAGUGAAACAGGUUGAAACAGAUUAUGAACAACAGGGGUAGACCCAUCUUUCAUAAAGCUCAUUUUUUUUUAGAUUUUAUAUCUCGCCAUGUUGGCAGUUUUAUUGAAAAGAACCAAACAGGAUAGGCUGCAAGGAAAAGAAUAAAAAAAAAGCCUUUUCACCUUUGUAAAACACAUUCAUUUUGAGUCUUUUUAUUUACUAAUUUUAAUGAAGCUUGUCAACUAAACAACCCAAGAAAGCAGUCUACAGUAAUCGCACCAGCCUCCUUACUUUAUUGUAAUUAGUCUUUCAUUUAUCAAUUCCUAAUAUUUUCAAUCAAAUUUCAUAGUUUGGAAAUCAAAAGGCAGGCAACUCUUUUGAGAUGCAAUUAUUUGGCUUGCUAGCAUCCAUCACCUCCUAGAUGCUAGGUAAAGAAAAAGAAUGCAUGGGUGAUGUAAGUCAUGAAUGGAAAUAAAACUUCUGGCAUAUGAUUUUUGUCAUACAUAGCAUAUCAAGAUUUUGACAUAUGACUCUAAUAAAUAUCACUUCAACUAAUCUUCCACAUGAUUCAUGGACAGGUCGUAUAUGGCAGAUGAAAAUUUUCGCACAUAAAUCUUGUAUAUGAAUUUUUACAUAUUUUCAAAUAAACCUUGGACAGAUCAUAUGAAGAUUUUAGUACAAUGAUUUCUUCACAUGAUUCUCGUGCCUGAUUCUUGGACAAAUUAUACAAAGCAAUAAUUCCUAGUCUGAUGAUUAAUGACUGAUUCACUUAUCAUAACUUUGUAUUUUAUGAGAUUACCUUUGUAUCCUUACAAUAUAGUAUAAAAUAGAGUGCAACAACACAUUCCACUUACCCCUAGUGUCUUAUUUUCUUCAUGGUAUCAAAGCCAACCUUCUCCAUAGCCUUCUUUGCUCCCUCCCAACUCAUCAGCCCUAGUCCAUAUCUGAGGAAUCACUGCUUUGCAUGACAUAUCCAAGAAUCAUGCAUGAGAAUCAUCUGCCAAAAUCUUCAUCUACCAUGUAUAACCUAUCCAUGAAUCAUGUCCAGGAUUAUCUGAUGAGAUAUGAAGAUACAUGCACAAGAAUCAUGUGCCAAAAUCUUCAUCUGCCAAGAAUCAUAUGGGAGAUUAUCUUAAGAGAUGAAGAGAUAUGCAUGAGAAUCAUGUACCAAAAUCUUGAUCUACCAUGUAUGACAAGAACUGUGUCAGAAUCUUCAUUUCUGUUCAUAACUUUAUCACAUGGGCCCCUGACAAAUGCACCACCAAGUAGUUGAGGUUUUACAAAAGUUCAGAUUAAUUACACAUAACAUAUGUUUCCUUGUUUCCGUCAUUUAUUUUUUUGCUUAGAAUAUUUACUGGUUGAAAUAUAUUUCUCGUUUGAACUAUAGCAAGAUUUCUAAUAUUUUAUCUUUCAACCAGUUUGUGAUCUUAAAAUUUCACAAAACAGAAGAUUCCUACACUGAAAAAAAUAGAGAAUGUGGUGUCAUUUGAAUGGUAAUGCAAAUUAACCUUUAUUGGAGAAAAUGAUAAAAAUAAUUUAAGCAAACCUACAAAAUUUAAAAAAACCUAAAGGAAACAAAUCUUCUACAGAUCACUCCAAAUUUGAAAGAUUUAAACACGGAAGAAUCAUAGACAAACAAGAGUUGGAAAAGAAUGAACUAAAAAACAAGGGACCUUGUCUUAGAAAGAUAAAGGAGUGAAGAAACAUAGAGAGGCUCAGAUUUGCCUUGGAUCCAUCAUUCAUCUUUUGCAAUGACCAAAAACUUCACCCAAAAUGGUCUAGCCAGAAGGUUAUGAAUUAAUGUCCUUGCCCUGCUAUGAUCUCCCAGACUAAACAAACAUCCGCAUGAAUCCUCACAUCCUUCUGCUGCAAUCCUCUAAACAAGUGACUGCAGCAGUUGUCUAGGAAGAAAUGGAAUGCCCCAACUGUCAUGCACUGUUGCAAAAGGAAAACAGGAGAGAGAAGUCGAAAAAAGGUUUCAUCACCACCUCAAUAGAAAAGAUACAGCAAGAGAAAGAGAAGAAUGCAUUCAAAACAGAGAGGUCUUAAAUAACAGCCAUGUCAUAUUGUGGAAGGGCGCAACUCUUGGUAGCACCAGAGCACCAACUGACCAACUCUUCCUGGUUCCUCCAUCAAGCCUCAUAGCUGAGCAGCAUAUUGGGCUGAAAACACAGCUGUCCAAUGAAUCAAGCAGCUUGAGCAUGUCUCUAGAUUCAACUUGAGACGAACGAAUCAGGUUCGGUUAGAAGCACGAAUCAAGUAGAAGACUUGUAUGCACAAAAAAGAGGAUUUGAUGCCAUUUGGGUGGUAGUGACAAUUCUGAGAAAAAUAAAGACAACAAAUAUCAUUGUGACAAAGCUCUACAAAAACAUUGUAAAUUCCUUGAGCAAAAAAACUUCAACAGAACAAUUCUGAUUUGCAAGAUUUCAAAACACAAAUAUCAUAAAGAAGUAUUAUUUUAGGAAUAAAGAACAGAAUGAUAAACAAGGUACCUAUCUCAGAACAUAAAAAGGACACAGACAAGCGGCAAGAGGCUCAGAUUCACCUUCGUACCAUCAUCCCACUUCUGCAUUUUUGGUCCACAAAUGGCAGUAGAGGUUGUCAGGGGGGUCUCACAAUCAUCACAAAAGAAAAAUACUGGAGGAAUCUAUAAGAGCUUCAUCAUCACUGCCUCCAGAGAAAGAUAGAGCAAGACAUACAUAGAGAAAGGUAUGGGAAUUAAGAGCUGAGUUCGGACAAUCUCCAGUUCAUGACUGAGGAGACAACCAUCACCAUGGAAGGCACUCUAUAGAAUUUUUGUUCAUCUUAUAACAAAGAGGGGGCAACUCGGGGGAGCACCAAGUCGCCAACCCUUACUUAUUUCUCCCUGGAACUUUCAUACCUCAACAAAUAACAUAAAGGCUGCAAACAGGUCAGGUCGAGUCAGGAUCCAACUUCGACAUCAAGAAAAGAAAUAGAAACCCAUAAACUACAAAUCAUUUCUGAUAAACAUUUUGAACAUUUAAAAAUUUUGAAAAAAAAAUGAAAAUUCUGAAAAAGCGGUGGACAAGUGAACAAGGGCUAAGUUCUAAAGAAGAAAGAUGGGAAGAAGCAGAGGCUCAGAUUCACUUUUGGCCUGUCAGAUAUUGCAGUCACAUCACUUUUCUCAAUGCAUGGCUCGCCACUGGUUGCCUGCAAAGCAGCAGACCAUCCAAGCUGCCUGCCACCAUUGCAAACAAGCAUUGCUGCAUGGGAAAAACAAUGGCCAAUAUGGUGAAGAUCCACUCAAGUGGAGCCAAGUCAAGCUCUCUCUCUUUCUUCUAUAUAUAUAUAUAUAUACACACACACAUACACACACACACAUGCAUGCAUACAUACAUGUAUGCUCUACCAUCACAUUGCUGGUAGGUUCAUCAUCACCGCCUCUGGAUUCUCCUCGGCAUCUUCAUUAGACCAUGUGACUUUUAACCAUUCCGGUUGAUCUUUCAAGUCCCCUGAUAUUUAUCAUUGAAAAUGCUUUGUCUAUCCUAUUAGAGCAGAAUGGAGGAAAUGAAUUCAUGUUGCCGACCCCAACCAGUGCAGGCU
rnacentral:lncRNA from 1 species